rnacentral:rRNA from 1 species
UACGAAGGUGGCGAAUGUUGCUCGGAUUCACUGGGCGUAAAGCGUCUGUAGGUGGUUUGUUAAGUCAGAUGUGAAAGCCCCGCGCUCAACGUGAGAAUUGCAUCUGAAACUAGCGAACUUGAGAGUAUCAGAGGAUGGCGGAAUAACUGGUGUAGAGGUAAAAUUCAUAGAUAUCAGUUGGAACACCCAUGGCGAAGACAGCUAUCUGGGAUAUUUCUGACACUGAGAGACGACAGCGUGGGGAGCAAACAGG